AACUCACAUGCAACACAUUUGUGAGUAUUUUGGUCUUUUUAAAUCCUUAUUUAAUAUAUAUUUUUAAUAAACCUCAAAACCCUUUUGGUUCUCGAAUUGAGAAUGAUGGUGGCAAUGGUAGUUCAAUUUCGGAAAUAGGGGAGCAAUGGUGAUGAACAACUGUUGACUGUUGAUAAGGGAGACAGUGGUGUACAACGAUAAUGGUAUGAUAAGGGAGACAGUGGUGUACAACGACAAUGAUUUCGUGUCUCAAGAUGGACAAAUCUUGGCGGAUGUCAUUAGAAAAUCUUUCUUGAAAACCGAGGACGAGUUUAUAUCUGUUGUUAGAGAUCAAUGGCGUACGCGCCCACAACUCGCCUCGGUGGGCACAUGUUGUUUAGUGGGUGUUAUUUGUAACAGGCUAAUUUACAUUGCAAAUGCUGGCGACUCACGGGUGGUUUUGGGGAGGGCGGAGAGAGGUGGUAGACGAAUCUCCGCCAUUCAACUAUCCAGAGAACACAAUGUGAACCGUGAGUCUAUACGAGAAGAGCUUCGUUUUUUUGUAUCUUGAGGAUCCAAAGAUCGUGGUUAAGAGAUGUAUUUCGACAUAUGGUGAAAGUGUCAUUGGGGUAACAACAUUGCAACUUUGGAAAAUGUGUUGGCUGAAUCAAGGAUGAUGAUUCCUGACCAUCGCAAACGCCUUGAGUCCUCGCUAACUGACCUAAAAGGAAUAUUGUCAAGAAACUACUAAAGGGAAGGGCGACUACAUGGGCAUGCAUUAGCGGCAGAAGAUUUCGUGAAUUAUUGAAUAAAACCGGAAGCUUUAUGAACUCCUUUAAGUUUUUUUUUCUGUAAUGUAUGUUUUUAGACUUGGCAUACAUGUUUGUUCUUAAACACAUUCCGCAAACAAAGUUUCCUGUGCUAUGCACGCCUUAAAUUUUGUGUGGCCGGCUUAUGGUACAAGCUCUUAUGACGUUUUGUAUGGCU